UCAGCCCUAGCCCCGAUCGUAGUCUUUACUUCGUAGUCUGUGCUUUCACACGCUUGAUAAAUUCAUGUUUGUUUGUUGCAGCGUACAAAAAUACUAGUUCCAAGAUUGCAUUGAUUUGAAUUUUAUGAAUUAAAUCUAGAUAUCAUAGAUAGAGAACGAACAGAAUAACGUCAACAUGACGCUUUCAGACGAUUUGGAAGUUGAUUGUUGUGAAGAAGAAUUGAGUGAAGCUCAAGUGAACUUUUAUUCAAAUGCCAUAAAGGAAUAUGAGAAAGCCUUGUCAGAAGCCAACCAGAUCAAGAAAGAAGGCUCUUCAGUCACAAAAACAGGAAAUAUUUGGUUAGUGAAAUCUACUUACCUGGUUAAAGUUAGAAAUCCAGUACCACCGGCAACACAACUAACACCAUCAGUUGCGCAGCAGUUGCUUAAUAAUCCUCGAAGUGGACCUAAUUUGUUCAUGGUCCGACCUCCUAUUCCUACUGCACCUUCUCUCCCAACAAAAGUUCUGGUACCUGUCAAUCAAUCUCCAGUUCAAAUACCAACAACCCAAGAAGGAACCCCACCAUUUGUUAAUGAAGCUUCAUUUCCAGUUGUUGAAGAAACUCCAUUUCCAGCUUCACAGUUACUUUCACAAUUCACCACAACUACUGCAAAAAAACAGAAACCAGCACCAUUGUCACACACUGCUGAAACUGUACAAGUUUCUCAGGUGGUUCACAGUAGUCACCCACCAAUUGUAACACAAGUUACUCCAGCUGUAGUGGUUUCCCAGGUUGCCCCAACUGUCAAAGUUCCCCACAUUGUUCAAAUUCCUAAAGUUGCCCCAGCUUCCCAAGCUGUGUUGGUUACCCCACCCAUACAGCUUAGUGGGAAUGCCAAGAAGACUAGUAACAAUCCAUCUCUUAAUGCAACAAAGCCCAAUAAACCACCAGAUGUUCCCACAGCACCUGCAACUGUACAGUCCAAUCAGCUGAUGACUGUAGUGACAUUGCCUUCUAAUGUUCCUCCUCCAGCAAAGAAUGUCCCUUCUGGACACAAUACAGAAGAUCCAAAACUCUUGUCCAAGACCACUCCAUCACUCUGUGUCGUUGUUCGCCCUGCAAAUGCAGUUCCUGAUGCUGUGAAUGCCAAGAAACGAGAAGCUCUAGAUUCGUUUGUCAAAAGUCGUUUAGUCCUUGAUGGUCGUCGCUUUGCUGAAUGGUUAAUGCAAGUUGGGCUACUACGAAGUCAGCAAUUCGGCUUAUGUCGGACACAUUGUAACGGGAACCCAACACCGGUCCCUUUACAGCUUAGGAUGUAUGCUGAAGAGAAUAAAUUUCCGUACAGUGGAGGCUACGUAUGGAUAACAAAGUGUUGCGAUCGCAAUUUCGUUUCCAUCUUUCGUGAAUCGAUAUUUGAAGAUGCGGCUCAUUCACCAACUGUUUUGUUAAAGUUGAUCUACCAUUGGGCUUGCCAGACCACUGUCGCCAAUGUAGUACAGUGGGUGAAAAUAGAUCAUCUCUAUCUUCGCCUGUUCUAUACCAUGUUGCGAAGUGUUUGUACGGUUGAAGUUCACAACAGCACUCCGUUGUUUGGUUCCAAGAACGGUCGCGUUGAGGUUGGAGUUAUUUCUUUGGGAACAACGUCAACCGAUGGAAAGCGGCGGGACGUUAAGGUUGAAGUGCUUGGCGUCUAUGAUCAAGAAACGAGAAAACUCCGGCUCCGUGCCUGUGAACCAAUCGUUGGAGAUACACGCAGUCGAGCUCGAUUCACCAAAAUACUGGAACCUCUUCCAAGGUGGGUGAACCAGAAAGCGAUCAUAAUUACUGAUUUCACGGUAGAUCGUACUGCCCUCGAAGAGUUGGGAUUUCGUCACGUUGUCCAGAAAAACUUGAACACGGUACCAGCCGAUGACCGCCUCAAUAAUCGCACGGUGAUGGAUUAUCUCCGUAAAACGGUACCGAAGGUGUUCCAGAAUACCUUGUCCCUUCUGUCUACAGCAACGAUUCAGCAGUUUCUUGAUGAGCUUAUUUGGCGAGAAAUCAACGGUCAGUCAUCGUCUGACGCGUUCCACAACAUUAUCCGUGAUAUUAGCGCACAGGCUCGGGCAGAUACAGGUGUGCCAUUAGUCAAGCGACUACCCAUCGUGUCGGUUGAUCCAUUCAAAGAUUGGAGUAUUAACCAAAGCAAAGCAAACCUACAAAACACAGUUUCUUCGAACGAAACCACCAUUACGUGCGCAGGAGCUGUGAAACGGCCCAUUUCAUCAACUAGCAAAGAUGCUUCUGCAUCCAGUGGUGCAAGCAACGCGAAAGAAGCGCGUACUACUUUGUACUAUGCCACCAUGUUAGAUUCAAGCAAAGAGGUUACCGUAUGCGAUCCAAAGAAUGAGGAAACCGUGUUACCCACUUACCUCCCUUGUCAACACGCGAACUGUCACAAGGUGACGAAAAGCAAUUUGGAAAUGAUGAUGCAUUUGAGGCAGCACUUGGUAGAGGACGCAGUGACCGACAGGAAGGACUGGAAAGAACAUUGCAGCUACUGCUUGGAUACGCUAGCUACGGUUGGCCAGAAAAAAGGGCACGAAGAAAAUCGCCACACUUUUCUUUCGUCGUUCACUGUUCAAAAGUCGAGAGAAGACGUUGCCACGGUUAAAGAUAUAGUAUGCUUAAUCUGUCACGAGAGAUUUGCCUCACUUCGUCUGUUAGAACAUCACCUGGAAAAGACGCAUGUAUAUUGCGAGAUGCCAUAUCGUUGCCGCGUGUGUCAAUUCCAGACGUCUGUUCACUCGCAGUUGAUCGAUCAUUUUUAUGAUCAUCAUAAGAAAAGCUUGCAUUUGUUAUGUCCGUUGUGCCUCGAUACAUUUGACACGAAAGGUGACAAUGUAGCUAAAGGGUUUGAUACAGGCCAUAUGCAAUAUUUGCAACAUCUGAAGAAUCAUCUUCCGCUGACCAAUCGCCAUCCUUGCAAACGCUGUGUUUUGACUUUCCAACAGUACGACCAGUUACGGUAUCACGUCCGCACGGAUCAUACAUCAGCAGUUACGAACGCCCGUGCCCGUCCUUUCUCUUACACGGUCAUAAACAAACCAAACGGCAGUAGAUUUAUGCAGCCAAGUCAAACGAUGAUCCAGUCUAACCCAUCCAUCAUGACAAUCUUACCACUUUCGUCCGAUUUGAUGUCUACAAUUCCCGACUCUUGUUCCCUAAACACAUCAACGUCUGGAAUCAAAUCGGGAGUCAAGACGUACUCUAAAGAUAUUCUACAAGAUAUACCGAACACAAGUGUAGCCCGCCGGCUUCCGAAUGUAACUCUGGCGGAAGAGAUGCUUCUUACGGCCAAUCUGUGCAUUGAGUGCAAAGAGCCUUUGAAGAAGAAAAAUCAUUUCACUGGAUACAUGUGUUGCACUCUCUGUCGCUUUUCAACUUGCUGCUGCAUCGCCAUGAAACAACACCAGAAUCAGGUCCAUAAAGGAAAAUUAGGUCCAAUUCUCGGUUCUGUUUAUGCCCUGAGUGAGGCGGUGAAAUGCAAGUGUGGAUUCUCCAGCACCAGCGGUCUUGAAUUGGAACGUCAUCUGGUCCAUUGCGGGGAGAAAUCAGUCAUCGUUGCACCCUAAAUCUCACUUUGAACAGAAAUAGGAACUACGGCAAUUAUCCUGUCACUUAGAGAGCAUAUUCAUUCAAGAGAGUGGUCCAUCUUGUUUGCUGAGGAACUGCUACCGCUCUACUCUUGGCCGGUGGCGGAGCAUCCCAUACUUCUUCGUUUUGCGGAGCUGCCUUUGCAGCUGCUAAGGCCGCGGCAUGUGCGGCCAAGUGUGCAGAUCGGGCGGCGGCCACUUCAGCUGUUUCUUGGGUGUGGUCAUUGUCAACUCGAUAACCGUUUUCGUCAGCAAUGAAGUUGACACGGAUCUCCUUUCCUUCAGGGCUGAUGUAUGCGUAGCUGCCCACCUGGUUACCUUGGGCAUCCCUGUGCGUCUCGGCAGACUGGCCUGGGUGGGAAUAACCAUACUUGGCUUGGCCGUAUCCGUCUUGAGAUUGGUAUUGACGGGCAAUAUCACUGGAUGAAGGUUGAAAUGAUUGAGGGGUUGCCCAAGUGUUGUGCUGAGGAGCGAUCCGGGUUUUCUGUUGGGGAGCUUCCCAGUGAUUCUGUUGGUCUACGAUCACGCUCUCCUGCGGGGGCGCACGAGCUGCAGCUUCUCUGUAACUCUGGUAAAAUUCAUUCUUUGCUGCUUGAACUUCAGGUGUGUCCUGUACUGGUUGGGGCAGACCAUAGUCGGCUUGAACAGAAGCCCAUUUGGUGGUCGGGGGAUUAGACCAGCUUUGCUGAGGAGCAACCCAGCUCUUCUCCUGAGGAAUGGUUACGGGCUUACUCCUAACGGGUUGUGGAGCAUCCCAUUCUUCUUGGUUUGGCGACGCUGCUCUGGCAGCAGCUAAAGCGGCCGCGUGAGCAGCCAGGUGAGAAGAUCGGGCGGCAGCCACUUCAGCUGUUUCUUGAGUGUGAUCGUUAUCAACUCGAUAACCGUUUUCGUCGGCGAUAAAGUUGACGCGGAUCUCUCUUCCUUCUGGGUCAAUGUAUGCGUAGCUGCCUACCUGGUUUCCUCGGGCAUCUCUGUGCGUCUCAGCCGAUUGACCUGGAUGAGAAUAGCCGUACUUUGCCUGGCCGAAUCCGUCUUGAGAUUGAAAUUGACGGGCUACUUCGUUUGUGUUAGGUUGGAUCCAUUUCCCCGAAACGGCACAAGCGUACAGAAUAAUAGCUGCAACCUUUGUAACAGAAAUUUUAAUUUGUUGUAAUUCUAAACUGUAAUCAUCAUAUUUUACGUUGUCUAAAAGAACUUACCGAAAUGUUCAUGAUUAUUCGCGUGCAGAAGAUUGAAGAGCGGCGAGUGGGAUUGGUAUGUUCUUUCUCGAGAUUUCGGUGUGGUUUAUAUAGUCAUGAUGAUGUGAGUUUGUAGCCGCCAGGUAAGGUGAGAGACCGUGUUGCUCUUAUUGAGUGGGAGGUAAAGGUAUUGCGAUUCUCAAAGCUUCAGAGAAUUUCAGGGACAUCGCAAACAUCGCAAAGAGUGAUGCAUAAAUAAACGAGAAAUAACUAUAGCAUUGCUCUCGUUUUCUUGGUGACCCUUCCCUUUCAGCUUACCACACCCAAAAAUCUAGCCUGUAGUAAAAUUAGGUUUUUAUCCUAGUUAACAACCAUUCUUCCUAUAGCUUCCUUAUCAAGACUUGAGGAGGAGAGUAAAAGUAAUGACCUUUGAGCGUUGUCAAGAUUCAGCUCCAUCUUUUCGCCUCAUCCACACAAAGAAGCAAAAAAUAAACAGGUUUGACUAGUA